GUUUGGAUUCGAAAAGAAGAUGAAGCUCUUUGCAGGGCUUAUAAAUGGGUCUUGGAAGAUAGUGUGAGGGGGAUUUCUCAAACAAGUGAAGGUGUUUGGACUUGUGUGUCCAAAAAAUACUAUGAGUUCUACGAAGGCACCAUUCCAUCAAAUACCUGAAACCACGAGAGUUGUUCUUCAAGAUGGAAGAAACAUCUUCAUCCAAAUUUGAAUAAAUGGCAUCAAGCACUGUUAGCAGCCACAAGUACACAUGAAAGCGGCCCAAUUACUACGACGAAGUACGCCAAGUGGAGGAAUUGUAUAUGGAAGGCAGCUCGAAACCCUUUUAGCAUCAAGGUUGAUGGGAAAUUUGUAAAGGGUGGGUGUUAUUUGAAGAUCCACCUCAACAUAGAGUAGCUCCUACGCCGGUGUUCGGAACUGCCUCAGCUGUAGAUAUGGACAUUGUUCUAAAAAUCCUCGCCUAGGUGCUAGAUGGUUGGCCACCAUCCCGAGUAAUGCCUAGGAGUUUGAAAAUUAAGAAGGGCACCUUGAACUACUGAGGCGCCCGCCUAGACCGCCCAGACCCGCCUAGACACCUGACUGGGUUGCAACUUACUUACACAGAUAAUAGAUAACUCUCAUUUUGCAUUUUAUUUUUUCAAUAAAUUGUAAGAGACUUGUUGAAUACUUAAGGGAACACACAUUAUAUACUUGUUCCCCAUGUUUUCAUUAUGUUAUAAUAUAUAUAUCAUUCAAUUUUGUA